rnacentral:rRNA from 1 species
GACGAACGCUGGCGGCGUGCCUAAUACAUGCAAGUCGAACGAACCGCGACUGAGUGCUUGCACUUGGUCAAGGUGAGUGGCGAACGGGUGAGUAACACGUGGGUAACCUACCUCAUAGUGGGGGAUAACAGUCGGAAACGACUGCUAAUACCGCAUAGGACAUGGAAUCACAUGAUUCUGUGAGGAAAUGUGGCGCAAGCUAUCGCUAAGAGAUGGACCCGCGGUGCAUUAGCUAGUUGGUAGGGUAAGGGCCUACCAAGGCGAUGAUGCAUAGCCGACCUGAGAGGGUGAUCGGCCACAUUGGGACUGAGACACGGCCCAAACUCCUACGGGAGGCAGCAGUAGGGAAUCUUCCGCAAUGGACGCAAGUCUGACGGAGCAACGCCGCGUGAGUGAAGAAGGUCUUCGGAUCGUAAAGCUCUGUUGUUAGAGAAGAACAGCGCAUAGAGUAACUGUUAUGCGUGUGACGGUAGCUAACCAGAAAGCCACGGCUAACUACGUG